CCUACGGGGGGCAGCAGUGAGGAAUAUUGGUCAAUGGACGAGAGUCUGAACCAGCCAAGUCGCGUGAAGGAUGACUGCCCUAUGGGUUGUAAACUUCUUUUAUAAAGGAAUAAAACGAGGCACGUGUGCCUUUUUGCAUGUACUUUAUGAAUAAGGAUCGGCUAACUCCGUGCCAGCCGCCGCGGUAAUACGGAGGAUCCGAGCGUUAUCCGGAUUUGUUGGGUUUAAAGGGAGCGUAGAUGGGUUGUUAAGUCAGUUGUGAAAGUUUGCGGCUCAACCGUAAAAUUGCAAUUGAUACUGGCAGUCUUGAGUACAGUUGAGGUAGGCGGAAUUCGUGGUGUAGCGGUGAAAUGCUUAGAUAUCACGAAGAACCCCGAUUGCGAAGGCAGCUUACUAAACUGUGACUGACAUUGAUGCUCGAAAGUGUGGGUAUCAAACAGGAUUAGAUACCCCGGUAGUC
rnacentral:rRNA from 1 species